rnacentral:rRNA from 1 species
AAUGGACGCUAGUAGUAUGCUUAACACAUGCAAGUCGAACGAAAGUUUUACACUUUCGUGGCGUACGGGUGAGUAAAUGCAGAAUUCUUCCUUCCAGUUCAGUACAAAAUUGCUUCUAGUAAUAAAUUCUGAAUAUUUUUUAAAGGUUUAUUCCGCUGAAAGAUGAAUCUGCUUAAGAUUAGGUUGUUGGUAAUUUAAAAGCUUACCAAGCCGAUGAUCUUUAGUUGGUCUGAGAGGAUGAUCAACCACACUGGAACUGAAACAAGGUCCAGGCUAAUUCGUUGGCCAGCAGUGAGGAAUAUUGGAGUCAAUGAACGAAAGUUUGAUCCAGC